CAGUCUUACCUGCGGACAAUCAGCUUUUUGAGUGUGAUUAUGUGGAUUGUGAGGAGUUUAAUCACCCUCAUGGUUUGCAUAUUCGUGCUCUUGGGUGUAUUUGCCCGUGUGGUAGGUUAACAUCAAUUUCGGACGUUCAUAAAAUGAUUGGAGAAAUGUAGCUUUGAUCUCGUAUCGAAGUGUUAUAGUCCCUUUGGUAGAUGGUGAUGGACUCGAGUAUUGGAGG
rnacentral:rRNA from 1 species